rnacentral:rRNA from 1 species
UACGUAGGCAGCGAGCGUUGUUCGGGAGUUACUGGGCGUAAAGGGUGUGUAGGCGGUUGUUUAAGUUUGGUGUGAAAUCUCCCGGCUCAACUGGGAGGGUGCGGUGGAGACUGCCGGACUAGAGGCACUCAGAGGCCGGUGGAAUUCCCGGUGUAGUGGUGAAAUGCGUAGAGAUCGGGAGGAACACCAGUGGCGAAGGCGGCCGGCGUGGGGGUGACCGUGACGCUGAGGCGCGAAAGCGUGGGGA